AUUCCAGCUCCAAUAGCGUAUAUUAAAGUUGUUGCGGUUAAAAAGCUCGUAGUUGGAGUUCUGCCAGGUGACGCUCGUCCGCCCAAGUGGUGUGUACAGGGCGUGCAUCUGGCCCUUUCAAGGGGAACGUGUCUGCUCUUUAUUGAGUGGUGCGAGAUCCUUGACUUUUACUUUGAGGAAAUCAGAGUGUUCCAAGCAGGCUCUCGUCGUGUAUAGCUCAGCAUGGAAUAAUAGCAUUGGACUUCGUUUCUAAGCUGUUGGUUGCAAGAAGCGAGGUAAUGAUGAAGAGGGAUAGUUGGGGGUAUUAGUAUUUAAUUGUCAGAGGUGGAAUUCUCGGAUUUGUUAAAGACUAACUUAUGCGAAAGCAUUUGCCAAGGAUGUUUUCAUCG
rnacentral:rRNA from 1 species